rnacentral:rRNA from 1 species
AUGCACUUUCUUCCCCGUCUUCCACUCUUCUUCCUGCUCUCUUCCCCAUCGUCGGCCGCACACCAUUUACCCCCGCUCACUGCUCGCCCGCCCGCGCCAUCUUCCUUGGUAGCUCGCGUGUACCAUAUCCCCCCGCUCACUGCUCGGCCACACGAGGAGAAGCUUCUUCGCUCGCCCGCCCGAAUCCACUUCCCCGACCUGGAAUCAUACCAGCCGAUGGUACCAUAUAACUGGAAUUACCGAUGCAAGUCGAAGAAGGAUUGGCCGGUGCUGCCGGCUGGCGUCAAGUUCGAUCCCACGGAUCAGGAGCUGAUCGAGCACCUUGAGGCCAAAGUGAGUGCUGACAGCGCGAGAUUUCAGUCUCUCAUCGAUUUGUUCAUACCAACCAUCGACAGCGAGCACGGCAUAUGCUACACCCAACCUGAGAAACUUCCAGCGCAAUUCCAGGGCAUUCAAAAGGGGCACGUGGACGCGUCGCAAGAUACAGUCGGAGUGCGGCAUGCACGCGAUGUGGCACAAGACCGGCAAUACCUUGCCGGUGAUGGUCAACGGCCGGCAAGACGGGCAGCAAAAAAGGUUCUGGUGCUGCACACCAACAAGAACUUCGACCAGCAGAGGACCAACUGGGUGAUGCACCAGUACCACCUCGGGGACCUGGAGCAAGAGAAGGAGCGGGAGCUGGUGCUCUGCAAGAUUUUCUACCAGACGAACACUAGGGCCAGGAGUCGAGCAAGUUUCAACUGGGCUGUAGACUGCCCAGGGUUGGUUUUGUUUUUAACAGGCCCCGCCCAUGACGACAACGGGGCACAAAGAUCCAGCAGGGUGAAAGGUGGAAGGAUCAACUCACAAGAUUUACUGCAGAGAGAGAUAUUGCCAUAA